rnacentral:rRNA from 1 species
GACGAACGCUGGCGGCGUGCCUAAUACAUGCAAGUUGAGCGCUGAAGGUUGGUCCUUGUACCAACUGGAUGAGCAGCGAACGGGUGAGUAACGCGUGGGGAAUCUGCCUUUGAGCGGGGGACAACAUUUGGAAACGAAUGCUAAUACCGCAUAAAAACUUUAAACACAAGUUUUAAGUUUGAAAGAUGCAAUUGCAUCACUCAAAGAUGAUCCCGCGUUGUAUUAGCUAGUUGGUGAGGGAAAGGCUCACCAAGGCGAUGAUACAUAGCCGACCUGAGAGGGUGAUCGGCCACAUUGGGACUGAGACACGGCCCAAACUCCUACGGGAGGCAGCAGUAGGGAAUCGUCGGCAAUGGACGAAAGUCUGACCGAGCAACGCCGCGUGAGUGAAGAAGGGUUUCGGAUCGUAAAACUCGGUUGGUAGAGAAGAACGUUGGUGAGAGUGGAAAGCUCAUCAAGUGACGGUAACUACCCAGAAAGGGACGGCUAACUACGUG